GCCAAAUCAAAGUGGAAGCCCUCCAAACGAAUAUUUUUAAGAAAACGUUUUCGGGUGACCUGACUUCAAGGGGAAAACACGGUAUUAUAAGUUUGGAAUUUGGAAAAAUACCAAGAAAUAAAAGUUGUAGAUAAUUGAAUUAGCUUUCCAACCAUAGGUCGUGGGUUCCCAGGUGACAUCGGUACAAGGAGAUAUGGACGUUUUAAGGUCGAAAGGUCAGUGGGCUAGGCCCAACUCGGGAUCAACCGGGUUGGCCCAAAAAAAAAAAAAAAGAGAAAAUUUAGGCCCAAAAGUGAGGUUGGCCGGCCAUGGUGUAAUGGCCCAAGCCCAUGGGAAUUUUCCAUGUGGAAAAUUAAUAUAAGGGAUCAUUUAAGUUGCCUUGAAACAUUUAGAAACUUCAAGAACACUUGAGAAAAAGGAAAGAAGGAGAAAUCUCCAAGGCCAUUUCGGCCAAGUGCAAAAAUUGCCAAGAAAAUUGACAAAAAUUUCUUCAAAAAUUAUUUUCUACCAAUUAAAGGAUUCCUAGCAAGGUGGAGUGGUCUUUGGAGCAAGAAAAAUCCAUAUUCUAGCAAGUUGCAAGUCUUAGCUAAGUGAAAGAUCAAGGAAGAAGAUUUCGGCGGAUUUGCAACUUGAAUUUGGAAUAGCAAAAGGAGCGGAAAGAGGUCAGCAGACAGGCGGAUUUGGUUCCUAGGAGCCCUACCAGCAAUACUUGUCAGCGCUCCAGUUUCCCCGGAGCCUCAGUUUCUUGGUACUAUUUUGUGUAUAUAUUCGGGCACGACAGUACUCGGC